UACGGGGGGCGCAAGCGUUACUCGGAAUCACUGGGCGUAAAGGGCGCGUAGGCGGUCUAAUAAGUCAGAUGUGAAAGCCCACAGCUCAACUGUGGAACUGCAUUUGAAACUGUUAGACUAGAGUCCGGGAGAGGUGGAUGGAAUUAGUGGUGUAGGGGUAAAAUCCGUAGAGAUCACUAGGAAUACCGAUUGCGAAGGCGAUCCACUGGAACGGAACUGACGCUGAGGCGCGAAAGCGUGGGGAGCAAACAGGAUUAGAUACCCUGGUAGUCCACGCCCUAAACGAUGGAUGCUAGUCGUUGUGGUGCUAGACACCGCAGUGAUGCAGCUAACGCAAUAAGCAUCCCGCCUGGGGAGUACGGCCGCAAGGUUAAAACUCAAAGGAAUAGACGGGGACCCGCACAAGCGGUGGAGCAUGUGGUUUAAUUCGAAGAUACGCGAAGAACCUUACCUGGCCUUGACAUCCCGCGAACCCUGCAGAGAUGCGGGGGUGCUACUUUUUGUAGAGCGCGGAGACAGGUGCUGCACGGCUGUCGUCAGCUCGUGUCGUGAGAUGUUGGGUUAAGUCCCGCAACGAGCGCAACCCUCGCCCUUAGUUGCUAGCGGUUCGGCCGAGCACUCUAAGGGGACUGCCCGGGCAACCGGGAGGAAGGUGAGGAUGACGUCAAGUCAUCAUGGCCCUUACGGCCAGGGCGACACACGUGCUACAAUGGGUAGGACAAAGAGAGGCGAUACCGCGAGGUGGAGCAAAUCUCAAAACCUACUCUCAGUUCGGAUUGCAGUCUGCAACUCGACUGCAUGAAGCUGGAAUCGCUAGUAAUCGCGGAUCAGCCAUGCCGCGGUGAAUACGUUCCCGGGUC
rnacentral:rRNA from 1 species